CCUACGGGAGGCAGCAGUGGGGAAUAUUGGACAAUGGGGGCAACCCUGAUCCAGCCAUGCCGCGUGUGUGAAGAAGGCCCUCGGGUUGUAAAGCACUUUCAGUGAGGAAGAACGCCUGGUGGUUAAUACCCAUCAGGAAAGACAUCACUCACAGAAGAAGCACCGGCUAACUCCGUGCCAGCAGCCGCGGUAAUACGGAGGGUGCGAGCGUUAAUCGGAAUUACUGGGCGUAAAGCGCGCGUAGGUGGCUUGAUAAGCCGGUUGUGAAAGCCCCGGGCUCAACCUGGGAACGGCAUCCGGAACUGUCAAGCUAGAGUGCAGGAGAGGAAGGUAGAAUUCCCGGUGUAGCGGUGAAAUGCGUAGAGAUCGGGAGGAAUAACAGUGGCGAAGGCGGCCUUCUGGACUGACACUGACACUGAGGUGCGAAAGCGUGGGUAGCAAACAGGAUUAGAUACCCUAGUAGUC
rnacentral:rRNA from 1 species